rnacentral:rRNA from 1 species
GAUGAACGCUGGCGGCGUGCCUAAUACAUGCAAGUCGAGCGAACAGACGAGGAGCUUGCUCCUCUGACGUUAGCGGCGGACGGGUGAGUAACACGUGGAUAACCUACCUAUAAGACUGGGAUAACUUCGGGAAACCGGAGCUAAUACCGGAUAACAUCCUGAACCGCAUGGUUCAAUAGUGAAAGACGGUCUUGCUGUCGCUUAUGGAUGGAUUGGCGCCGCAUUAGCUAGUUGGUAAAGUAAUGGCUUACCAAGGCAACGAGGCGUAGCCGACCUGAGAGAGUGACCGGCCGCCUGGGGCCUGAGGGAAGGCCCAGGCUGGUACGGGAGGCAGCGGGGGGGAAGCUUGCACGACGGGCGGAGGGGUGAUGAAGCAGCGCUGCGUGCGGGAAAACGGCCUUUUUGGGGAAAAACAAUUUGGAAAGUGACGAAGCGUGAGUGAAGGUAACGGAUAAAGAAGCCCCGGCUAAAUACGGG